rnacentral:rRNA from 1 species
AUAGAGUGGCGAACGGGUGAGUAACACGUGACCAACCUGCCCCUUGCUCCGGGAUAACCCAGGGAAACCUCGGCUAAUACCGGAUACUCCGCGCAGCCCGCAUGGGGGGCGCGGGAAAGCCCAGACGGCAAGGGAUGGGGUCGCGGCCCAUUAGGUAGACGGCGGGGUAACGGCCCACCGUGCCCGCGAUGGGUAGCCGGGUUGAGAGACCGAUCGGCCACAUUGGGACUGAGAUACGGCCCAGACUCCUACGGGAGGCAGCAGUGGGGAAUUUUGCGCAAUGGGGGAAACCCUGACGCAGCAACGCCGCGUGCGGGACGAAGGCCUUCGGGUUGUAAACCGCUUUCAGCAGGGAAUAUAGUGAAGGUACCUGCAGAAGAAGCUCCGGCUAACUACGUGCCAGCAGCCGCGGUAAUACGUAGGGAGCGAGCGUUAUCCGGAUUCAUUGGGCGUAAAGCGCGCGUAGGCGGCCCGUCAAGCGGGGUUUCAAAUCCAGGGGCUCAACCUCUGGCCGGACCCCGAACUGGCGGGCUCGAGUGCGGUAGAGGAAGGUGGAAUUCCCAGUGUAGCGGUGAAAUGCGCAGAUAUUGGGAAGAACACCGAUGGCGAAGGCAGCCUUCUGGGCCGCCACUGACGCUGAGGCGCGAAAGCUAGGGGAGCGAACAGGAUUAGAUACCCUGGUAGUCCUAGCCGUAAACGAUGGGCACUAGGUGUGGGGGAGCAUCUCCUCCGUGCCGCAGCCAACGCAUUAAGUGCCCCGCCUGGGGAGUACGGCCGCAAGGCUAAAACUCAAAGGAAUUGACGGGGGCCCGCACAAGCAGCGGAGCAUGUGGCUUAAUUCGAAGCAACGCGAAGAACCUUACCAGGGCUUGACAUGCAGGUGAAGCGGCGGAAACGCCGUGGCCGAGAGGAGCCUGCG